rnacentral:rRNA from 1 species
AGGGCACCACCAGGAGUGGAGCCUGCGGCUUAAUUUGACUCAACACGGGAAAACUCACCCGGCCCGGACACUGGAAGGAUUGACAGAUUGAGAGCUCUUUCUUGAUUCAGUGGGUGGUGGUGCAUGGCCGUUCUUAGUUGGUGGAGUGAUUUGUCUGGUUAAUUCCGAUAACGAACGAGACUCUAGCCUAUUAAAUAGAUCGUUGGCUUACAAACGCCGGCGAGACUUCUUAGAGGGACAGGCGGCGAUUCAGCCGCACGAAACAGAGCAAUAACAGGUCUGUGAUGCCCUUAGAUGUCCGGGGCCGCACGCGCGCUACACUGAAGUGAUCAGCGUGCAUUUUGAAACCUACUCUGUCAAGAGUGGGGAACCCAAUGAACCUUCUUCGUGAUUGGGAUAGGGGAUUGUAAUUAUUCCCCUUGAACGAGGAAUUCCCAGUAAGCGCGAAUCAUAAGUUUGCACUGAUUACGUCCCUGCCCUUUGUACACACCGCCCGUCGCUACUACCGAUUGAAUGUUU